UUUCCGUAGGUGAACCUGCGGAAGGAUCAUUACAGAGUUCAUGCCCUCACGGGUAGAUCUCCCACCCUUGAAUAUUUAUACCUUAGUUGCUUUGGCAGGCCAUGGAAACACCAUGGGCUCCGGCUUAUGCGUGCCUGCCAGAGGAAACAAACUCUGUUUUUAGUGAUGUCUGAGUACUAUAUAAUAGUUAAAACUUUCAACAACGGAUCUCUUGGUUCUG
rnacentral:misc_RNA from 1 species